AAAACGACUCUCGGCAACGGAUAUCUCGGCUCUCGCAUCGAUGAAGAACGUAGCGAAAUGCGAUACUUGGUGUGAAUUGCAGAAUCCCGUGAACCAUCGAGUCUUUGAACGCAAGUUGCGCCCCAAGUCUUCUGGCCGAGGGCACGUCUGCCUGGGUGUCACAA
rnacentral:rRNA from 1 species